GUGGUCUGAACAAGCAUCUUUGUCAGUUCAUAAUGUGCCUCCAGAGUGGCUUAAUGUAGAAGCCUCAGGAACAAUAUCAGUCAAUCUUAGGCUCUGUGACUCCUGAAAUAUUUUCUCCAGUGUGAGUUAAUCUUUGAAGUCUGCUGUGACUUAACAAGUCCCUAUACUACAACUGGGACUUAGCAACUGAUUAUAAAAUCAUAGAAUAACUUGGGUCAGAAGGUAUCUUAAAGAUCCUCUAGUUCCAGUUCUCAUGCCAUGUGCAGGGAUGCCACCCACCAGAUCAAGUUGGUCAAAGCCCUGUCCAAAUGGGCCUUGAACACUUCCAGGGAUGAGGCAUCCACGACAUCUCUGAGCAACAUAUUCCACUGUCUCAUCACCCUCACAGGAGAGAAUUUCUUCCUAAUCUAAACCCACCUCUUUCAGUCUAAUGCCAUUACCCCUUGUUCUAUCACUUGUGAAAAGUAAUCCUUAAGCCCUGUCAAAGUCCCUCUCCAGCUCUUACAGGCCCCCUUUAGGCACUGGAAGACUGCUAUAAGGUCUUUCCAGAACUUUAAUAAUCUCGUUGAUGACCUUGUCUCACUACAAAUAACUAAUAAAUCUUUGCAGUUUUAAUCUCAGUGGAAGCCACUUGAAGUUGAGGGUCAGCUCAGAUCUCAUUCUGUAACUAGGUGAGUUAUAGGAAUGCAGCCCUGUCUCAGAGCAUGAUGGGAGUUCUUUAUUUAAGCAUAUUUGUAGAAAUUGUCAGGAUGCUUGACCUAGAAAGUCCCAUUAUAUCUGAAACAAAGGAACUUCUAGAACUGAGCUCUGUAGGAAAUCUGGCUACAAAUCCAGAUGCCAAUUGGCUGAAAAAUUGACUUCUGAGAACAAACUAGGCAUCUGUCUUUUAUUCAUCAUCAUAGGUCUCUAAUAACACAAGGAUAAAUGGCUUUACAGGAGCCAAGGCAUCACAUCAGACCCUAAUCAGACAAAUAUUUCAGUAUGACAAGCCUACUCACAGAAUCAUAAGAAAAAAAAUUGGAAAGUAUUUUAAGAUAUUGCCUAGUUUAUCUAUCCCCCAUCCUGAUGGAUGUUUGUCUGAAUGACAUUUAAAACCUCCAGCAGCAGACACUCCACAGCUUUUCUAGACAGUCUGUCCCAGAGUUUCACUAUCCAUUCAGUACAUUUUUCCCAAUGUCAGGCCUACCUAUCACUUGCUGCAAUUUAGCGCCCUUUUUUUUUAAUCUUAACUACAUUAGACUGACAGAAUAAUUUAUUUCUUUAUUUGGAGACUGGUAUAAACUCUCAGGUAAAAUCUCCUCUUUUUUUAGCUGCACAACCUUUGUUUUGGUCUUUAAAACGCUUCAGAUUUACGUUGUGAGGGGAUGGGUGUCAGGAGGGCAUUCACAUCCAGGGAACAGCAUUUGGAUGGGCUUUCCUUCCCGCUCUGCAAGAGAUCUUUACUUUAUUUAUGCAAUCCUUACUGUUGGGGCAGAUGGACUUCCACAGGUGUAGUUGUAAGUAGCAAUAAUUAAUCUGUGAUUUAGAAACUCCAGCAUCUCACAAAGAGAUGAUAGACAAAAGUAAAAAUUUCACCUGGCAAUAUUGCCAACACAAAUAUCUUAACUGCUGUACUAAUUUGGAAAAACAAAACAAACAAACAAACCAAACUUAGGUAACUUCAAGACUCUAUCAAGCAAGUUCAAACAUUAAUUUAGAGUUAGUAAAAAAGGUAUCUGGAAAUGCAAUGAACUUCAUUGUUUUAUUAAUACCGCAUUAACAGGGAGCAAAGCAUUCAGACAUAUUUCACUGCUAUAGAAAUUUGCAUCACAAGAUAUGUAGGGAAUAAAAGAUAAUGAAUUCAUAACUGAGCCAAUACUUCCAGUAAGCUUAGUCAAAUGAUGAGUUAGGACACUAAACAUUCCUCAGUUUUGGUACCUAAUUAAUACAGAAUGCUGAAGAAUGCUAAGGUUGGAAUAAAUGUACAUAUUAUUAAAAAUGUAUGAAUGCAGUCCUGGAACAAAAUUAUUCAUUAAAUCAUUUUUAAUGCUGAUAUGAGAACGACAUAUAAGCCUGAAAAGCUUUCAGUGAUGAGCUGUGUCUUGGGUUCCUUGAAUUCAAUAUUCAGACUUGCAUACUAAAGAAGAAGGUUAUCAGAUUUGUCCUUGAACACAUCCCAGCACGUGCAUCAGAUGGAUGAGAACCACAACUUUAGAUGAGAUGUAGAAUGACAAAUCUCAGUUCUUUCAUUAUACUGGCAUUACCUAUGCUAGAAUUACUGCAAAUUCAUGUCAUUGGAAAACCAGGUAACAUUUGGUUUGGCUACACAAAAUAUGUGUGUUUGUAAUUUCCAAACAUCUCGUUCAGUUUACAGCUCAGGAAGCUGAGUGCCUUCCAAGCUAGUAUCAGCUCUUUUCUUCAAGUCCUGAUGGGAGAGAUGCUGUAGGAUGGAUUCAGUGCUGUGAAGGUACUCAGAAAAUUCCUUUGCCAAAUCUGGGGACAUGUUUUCAUCUUUUUAAGUGUGGUUAUGGGAAACUUCAGUAUCUCCAGCUUUAAAAUCUCUUGUUGAAUUUUCUUUUAGAGUAAGUUGUUGCUUUCAUCUGACUGGAAAUACUACCUUGUUUUGUUUCAUAAAGAAUGGACUUCUGUUCCUGAAAAUCCAGCCUUUGAAAAGUUGUCACUGGCUUACUUUUCUGUCUGUCUGUGUUUUUCUAACUAUUUAUCUUGUUAAGAGCUCAUUUUCUACUGAACAAGUAAGCAUUUCCUAUUACUUCCUGGCUUCAAGCUCUCAUUUCCUGAUUAUUUCUUUGUAAUAUAUUUAGUGCCUGCGUUGUCCACAUGGUCAGGUAACUCUGUAGUUCCUCACUGGAAGUCUGUUUUACUUGCUGUGUGAUGUGAAUCCCUGCUGGCACACACAGCAUCACACAUUUUAUCUCUAGACGUGGCACUUUGUACCACAUCAUGCUUCUUGGUAAGGCACACAGGGAUUUUUUCUCUUUAACA
ensembl:lncRNA